rnacentral:rRNA from 1 species
GCGGCAUGCUUUACACAUGCAAGUCGAACGGCAGCGCGGGGCAACCUGGCGGCGAGUGGCGAACGGGUGAGUAAUACAUCGGAACGUACCCAGAAGUGGGGGAUAACGUAGCGAAAGUUACGCUAAUACCGCAUACGUUCUACGGAAGAAAGUGGGGGACCUUCGGGCCUCAUGCUUUUGGAGCGGCCGAUGUCUGAUUAGCUAGUUGGUAGGGUAAAGGCCUACCAAGGCGACGAUCAGUAGCUGGUCUGAGAGGACGACCAGCCACACUGGGACUGAGACACGGCCCAGACUCCUACGGGAGGCAGCAGUGGGGAAUUUUGGACAAUGGGCGCAAGCCUGAUCCAGCAAUGCCGCGUGAGUGAAGAAGGCCUUCGGGUUGUAAAGCUCUUUUGUCAGGGAAGAAACGGCUGAGGCUAAUACCUUUGGCUAAUG